rnacentral:rRNA from 1 species
UACUAACUCUGGCGGCGUGCCUAAUACAUGCAAGUAGAACGCUGAAGAGGGGAGCUUGCUCUUCUUGGAUGAGUUGCGAACGGGUGAGUAACGCGUAGGUAACCUGCCUUGUAGCGGGGGAUAACUAUUGGAAACGAUAGCUAAUACCGCAUAACAAUGGAUGACACAUGUCAUUUAUUUGAAAGGGGCAAUUGCUCCACUACAAGAUGGACCUGCGUUGUAUUAGCUAGUAGGUGAGGUAAUGGCUCACCUAGGCGACGAUACAUAGCCGACCUGAGAGGGUGAUCGGCCACACUGGGACUGAGACACGGCCCAGACUCCUACGGGAGGCAGCAGUAGGGAAUCUUCGGCAAUGGGGGCAACCCUGACCGAGCAACGCCGCGUGAGUGAAGAAGGUUUUCGGAUCGUAAAGCUCUGUUGUAAGUCAAGAACGGGUGUGAGAGUGGAAAGUUCACACUGUGACGGUAGCUUACCAGAAAGGGACGGCUAACUACGUG